AUGAAACAGAUUAUCACCGUGUCAACAGAGAAUGGUUACAGUGAUGAGAAUGAGGAGGAGCUGAAGCACUUGUGGAUGACCAUCUUCAUUUUCUUCAUUCUCUUCCUUCUCAGCGUGUGCUAUAGUGCAACCGUGACCCUAUUCAAAGUGAAAUGGCUUUUCUCCAGCAUGGUGAACAUGAAGAGGCAACCAACAGGCCCUGAUUAUAAGAAUGUACUCCAGAGUAUGAUAUGAAACCAUCUCCUGGGAGACCAGUUUUAUGUCUUCUUCAGAGAUGAAAAGCUGAAGUCCCUGGCCAAGGCUGGCAUUUCCCUCUCCAUCAAUGUCUUCUCAUCCUUGACAGGUGGAGAUGAAGCCUGUCAACUCAAGGUCUCCUAUAAGCAUGGCAAUUUUGCUAGAACCUGGACCAAGAUUUCUGAUCUGACGUCCUUAAUUUGAUGACUUGGGUUGGGCCAGAGCUCGGAAGAGGAAAAACUCUCUGACCAUCCAUCCUAGAGUUUUCUUUAAAGCAACUAGUUCUGCCACCCAACUUGUGGUCUAUAUGGUGCUUACAUUAUGCUCUCUUUAGCACUCAGUCUUUUUGGUCUUCGCACUGAUUUAUCCCAUUGCUGCUUUUAUAACUCAUUUUAUUAUUUCCGCUGGUGGUUUAUAUUUGUGUUUCUGACUGGCAUUAAUGCUGCUUUGUAAAAAAAAAAUUGUAUUUUAUAUGUUUUUCUGUUAUGUGCACUGUGCAGAACCCAUAGGUUAUGGGACAGUUUUAUAAUAUGGAAAAUUAAAUGAAUAAGGAAUUAGAGAGAGUGGAUAUUUUGGCACAUUCCUGAGGAAAGUAACUUAGUGUUUCAUAAGCUACACCAAGUGACUUCCAGCCUCACUUUCCAUCUUACCUUCUGCAUUUCUGGGCCCCACAUUUUCUCUAUAUCCUUUUUGUACAAUAUGGAUUCCAUUAAGAAGACUUCCAGCCCCGGGCAACAAUGGGAGACUCUUGACUAUUCUGUUUGGGUCAGAUCCUUUAAACAUAACAAAGAAAUAUCCCAUAUUAGCAUCCUCACCUCAGUAUCAAAAUACUCAAAUGUUCUAAAGGCACCAGAUCUUAUCUGAUCUUGGAGGGUCAUCCCUGAUUAAUACUUUGACAGGAGACCAUCAAGAAAUACCAGGUGCUGUAGGCUAUAUUUAAGAGGAAGUAAAUAGAAGAUCACCUCUGAAUAUUUCUGAUCUAAGAAAACACUGAAAUUAAUGAGGUGUCCAGAAGUUGACAGGUGAGAUGAACACACAUACACACACACAUAUGUCAACACCAUUCAAAUAAUUAAACUAGUCAGUUUUGUAAGUGCUUUACAUCUCCCUUCCCACACACACACACGUAUUCCAUGUUCUUCAAACUCAAUGCUGGUGCUGAGAAGAUAUCUGAUAGUUUCAUAAACUGGUUGUUUGUGAUGUAUUCUUAAAAAAUAAUAAAUAAUAAAUACAAAAAUAAAAGAAAGUCUCCUUAUGGUUUUUUGUUUUGUUUGUUUUGUUGGGGUUUUUUUUUUUUUGCACUGAUAAAUAUUGGCUACUAUUUCAGAUUUGCAGGAAGACUUUUAACUCUUCCAGUUGAUAGUAGAUCAGGUGUUUGGAAGAUGUGAUGGGGUUGCCUAUGACAUUGUGGCCCUUGGAGAUAAUAUGUCCAGUUAAUAUUCAAACGACCACUCCUUGGAGGGAAGGAAGAGCAGCCAGGUAUAGCUCCAUCAUGCUGUGGCUUCUUUCAUCAAAUGGUGAGAAGCCCUCUCUCCAUUCCAAAUUCUACCGGUAUGCCCUCUGAGACUGAAUCUACAUUGCCAUAUAAUCUAGAUUAUCUUCUUUGAACUGGAUUAUAUGAGUCUACACUGCCAUAUAAUCCAGUUCAAAGCAGAUAAUAUGGAUUUUAUAUGGCAGUGUAGAUGGGGCCUGAGGAAGUGAAGAGUAAAGCUCCAUCAUGACUUGGUACCAGGUGCUUCCUCCAUUCCAAAUCCUACUACGAAGUCCUUAGAAAUGAAGAAGAGCAGUCAGCAUCUGAUGGACUUAAUCUCCUCUCUCACUAUCAUUCUGUUUUCUUUCUGUGUCAUAUCUUAUAUUCCCAAAUUUUGGGCCUCUGGGUGUUCUGGACUUCUAUUCCCAGAAGUGUUCGCAAAUUUGGCCUACAGCAAGGAAUUCUGUGGAACUCAUUGCCUCCAUAUGUUAGAGCAAUGUCGGAGUUGUGACCUUUUGUAAAAGUGCUCAAGACUUGGCUGUUUGGUUGUGCAUUUAAGUAAAUCAGAUCUAAUUUGCCAAAUAGUCACUGUUGAAUGUUUUUAGGUUGAAUGUUUUUAUGUUGAAUGUUUUUAUGUUGAAUGUUUUUUAUAUUGUGGAAUGAUAUUUUAAAUUGUAAGUUGCUCGGAGCACUCUGGUGAAGAGCGACUAAUUAAGAAAUAAAGUGAAGUGAAGUGAAGUAAAAAAGUUAAACUUACAAAUGUGGAGGACCAACUAUAAUAAUAUAGAUAAGCUCUCAACAUGUUCCUGUAAAACAGUGGCUGGGAUCAUUCAAUCAAUUGCUGAAUGGUAUAUAGAUUUUUUUUCUUGUGUCAGGAGUGAUUUGAGAAACUGCAAGUUGCUUCUGGUGUGAGAGAAUUGGCCGUCUGCAAGGACAUUGCCCAGAGGAUGCCCGGAUGUUUGAUGUUUUACCAUCCUUGUGGGAGGUUUCUCUCAUGUUCCUGUAUGGGGAGCUGGAGCUGACAGAGGGAACUCACCUGCUCUCCCCGGAUUUGAACCGCUGACCUGUCAGUCAGCAGUUCUACUGGCACAAGGGUUUAACCCAUUGUGCCACCGGGGCAGUAUAUAAAUAAAUUCCAUUGAUUAAGUUGGUCUACUCUAUAUAACACUAGCAAUAGGCCCAUAUUUACUUUAGUUCUUUACUGGAAAUUCUGAGUAAGUCUCCAUUUCAGAAAAAUAACAAAAUAUUUGCAUUUAACUUCUCAACAUCUAUCUGAUAUGAUAUGAUCUUAGUGUUAGUUGCUCUCCGUUUCCUUUGAUAGAGAAGGAGUGGGAAAUUAUUAUUAUUAUUAUUAUUAUUUUAUUUUAUUAUUUCACUAUUCUUUUUUUGUUUUGUUGCACUCCAGCAAUACCUAGAGAUCCACAUCAGCCUACUUUGUGCUAAAAGGGAAAUGUCAUGCCAAAAAAGAACAUAGUGAGGAGUUAGAUUGGAUCUGUGACUUGCAGAGGAUUGUUUGAAUUUAGAGUAAAAAAUGGAACAAAUAUUAUUUUAUUUUAUUUUAUUUUAUUUUAUUUUAUAGUGUUGGGUCUUUGAGGGUUUUUUUUCCUUCUGGCCUUUUCUUCAAUUUUUUUAGACACUGUCACUUCCUUGACCCUUUGCUAGCUGCCUUUCGAAUGUAACACAGUAAUAAACAGGAUGCAGAUGUGCUGAAAGAAGAGGAACUGAAAACUAAGAGAGCUUAAAGAGAAAUGUACUUUUUCAAGGUGUGAUCGGUGCCAGUAAAAAAAAAAAUGCCUGAAUCAAGACAGAUCUUGAUCUUGACAUAAUUAUUAUUAAAGGUAGGAAUCACAAGGUCUUCCCAGUGUUGCAGGACAACAAAUCCUAUCACCAGGUUGUUGUGCAUUUUCCAGGCUGUAUGUCCAUGGUCCUGAAGCAUUAUCUCCUGACGUUUUGCCCACAUCUGUUGCAGGCAUUCUCAUACCACACAACCUCUGAAGAAGCAUUCAUCAGGAGAGAAUGCUUCUGGAAUAUAGCCAUACAGUCUGGAAAAUGCACAACAACCCAGUGAUUCCGGCCAUGAAAGCCUUUGACAACACAAUCCUAUCACUGUUUGACAACAUAGCCAUAUUCUUCAAGGUAAUGUUUUGAACAGCCUACCAGCUGUUAGGAAUUGUGAGAGUUGAAGUCCAAAACACUUGGAGGACCAACAUUUGCUCAUGGCUGAUCCAAGGGCUUGGUUCUUACACCAACUACCUCCUCCUCCUCCUCCUCCCUUUCAUUCGCCUUCUUUUUCUCCUCCUCCUUCUUCUUCUUCUUCCUCCUCACCACUGCUAUAGUCAUUGUACCCACAAGGAUGAGUCUUUCAUGUUUUACAUUCAUUAUUGUUCCCGGCAGACAACAAUAAACACAUACAGAAACAAAAAUCAAGUCUUCCUUUUUGAGAUUUGUGUGGCUGGUUCUGCACUCAAGCACUGCUUAUGAACAUCCCAUAGACCACAUGUGUCAAACUCAAAGUCCUUUGGAGAAAUCUGGCCCACCAGGUCAUUUUAGGUAGCCUUCCUGAUGCUGUACUACAGGAGUUGGAAUAUAGCAGUGGUGCUCAACCUGUGGGCCUCCAGAUGUUUUGGCCUUCAAGUCCCGGAAAUCCUAACAGCUGGUAAACUGGCUGGGAU
rnacentral:lncRNA from 1 species